rnacentral:rRNA from 1 species
UACGUAGGGUGCAAGCGUUGUCCGGAAUUAUUGGGCGUAAAGAGCUCGUAGGCGGUUUGUCGCGUCUGCUGUGAAAACUCGGGGCUUAACUCCGGGCCUGCAGUGGGUACGGGCAGACUAGAGUGCGGUAGGGGAGACUGGAAUUCCUGGUGUAGCGGUGAAAUGCGCAGAUAUCAGGAGGAACACCGGUGGCGAAGGCGGGUCUCUGGGCCGUAACUGACGCUGAGGAGCGAAAGCGUGGGGAGCGAAC